rnacentral:rRNA from 1 species
GAACGCUGGCGGCAGGCUUAACACAUGCAAGUCGAGCGCACUCUUCGGAGUGAGCGGCAGACGGGUGAGUAACGCGUGGGAAUCUACCCAUCUCUACGGAACAACAGUUGGAAACGACUGCUAAUACCGUAUACGCCCUUCGGGGGAAAGAUUUAUCGGAGAUGGAUGAGCCCGCGUUGGAUUAGCUAGUUGGUGGGGUAAAGGCCUACCAAGGCGACGAUCCAUAGCUGGUCUGAGAGGAUGAUCAGCCACACUGGGACUGAGACACGGCCCAGACUCCUACGGGAGGCAGCAGUGGGGAAUAUUGGACAAUGGGCGCAAGCCUGAUCCAGCCAUGCCGCGUGAGUGAUGAAGGCCCUAGGGUUGUAAAGCUCUUUCACCGGUGAAGA